rnacentral:lncRNA from 1 species
AGAAGAUUUAGAUGAGACUCCAACUCCAGCCAUUCUGUGAUUCCAUGAUUCCGUGACUGUAUGACUCUAUGAAGUGGCCUUCUGGAAUGCCACCCCUCAGUGCUGGAAGGUUGCCGCGUUGGCACAUUGCCGCAGGGCAGGCCCAUCAUGCAGGAAGCCAUUUUACACCUUCAGUUGUCACCUGCAUCUGCAGGAGUUGGUGUUUCACACACCUGCUGAGACAUGAGGCCUCCUAACUGGUGGCACUGGAGGAGAAAUACUGUAGCAGCUUUUAUUUCUGGUGAAAUACAGCCAGCCUCUGGAUAAAAAUAGAGAGAGCCUUAUAAAAGAGAAGAUAAAUCCUUUCCAUAGUGGAUUGUAGGUCAUUGAUAUCGCCUGGCUCCAAAAGCAAGCUGCAAUCUCCAGCUGAAGAAAACUUAUGCAUUGAGAAAAUCCAAUUCCCCUUGGUCUGCUGUGAAGGCUUCAAUACCGGGUUCAUCCAGAAAUAUGCAUCUUGUAGAAUACUGAAAGAUGUCUCUGAGCUAAGUUACUGAUAUGCCACAGCAAUUCAUCUACUUGAAGAAAUAUGGAUUUGUCAGCAAAGGUUUCCUCUGUGCUGGGAGUGGGUCAGAGCCAGCAGGCACUGAGGCACUGAGGCAACAUGCAGCCGGGAUGCAGUGCUCCAGAAGUCAGUGGCAGCUAUGUCAGAGCCAGCAGAAUGAUGUUUGUUGCACACAGAUAUAAACUUUUGCUCUCCUAUUUGCUAACAGGAGGAAUGUGCUUAGCUGAAGAGGUCAGUAGUCUUGAUGUCAGUGAUACCUUGUGGUUAUAAGCUCUGUAGGAAAGCUUUAUUAGAGCUGCCCUUCCCCGUUUAUGAUGAUUGAAUUAAAAGAGACUGC